rnacentral:rRNA from 1 species
AUCGAACGCUGGCGGCAGGCCUAACACAUGCAAGUCGAGCGAGCGGCGGACGGGUGAGUAAUGUCUGGGAAACUGCCUGAUGGAGGGGGAUAACUACUGGAAACGGUAGCUAAUACCGCAUACCAUCAGAUGUGCCCAGAGGGGAUUGGCUAUUAGGUGGGGUAACGGCUCACCUAGGCGACGCUCCCUAGCUGGUCUGAGUGGUUGACCAGCCACCCUGGAACUGAGACACGGUCCGAACUCCGACGGGAGGCGGCGGUGGGGAAUAUUGCACAUUGGGCGCAAGCCUGAUGCGGCCAUGCCGCGUGUGUGAAGAGGGCCUUCGGGUUGUAAAGCACUUUCAGCGGGGAGGCGUUACCCGCAGAAGAAGCACCGGCUAACUCCGUGCCAGCAGCCGCGGUAAUAC